GUAAUAAAAUCUGAAAAGUUUUGAAUGUUUUCUCAUACCUCUACAUCUCUUUAAAAGGGUGAAGUACACUGGACAGACGGAACUCUCCCAAGUCUUCUGGAAGUGUGGCAGCACGUGGUCACAUGACCUGGAAGAGAAAACCCAAGAGACUUCUGGGAUCCCUCUCUGAAUGGGCCGGUUAUCAACCUGGAAAGAAGUCUAAAGGCUGA
ensembl:lncRNA